GAUCCAUCCUCUCCAUCAUGUUCACUAAGGCCGUCUUCGCUCUCGCCCUUGUAGCCGUCACUCUGGCUGCUCCUUCACAGCCUUCCUAUGGAUAUGCUCCUCCGGCUACCUAUGAUGCUCCCGCUAAGUACGACUUCAAACUACGCCGUGAAGGACGACUACUCCGGAAAACGACUUUGGUCACCAAGAGGCCCGUGACGGAUACGACACCCAGGGAUCCUACUA